rnacentral:rRNA from 1 species
UACGUAGGGUGCGAGCGUUGUCCGGAAUUAUUGGGCGUAAAGGGCUCGUAGGCGGUUUGUCGCGUCGGGAGUGAAAUCCACUGGCUUAACUGGUGGCUUGCUUUCGAUACGGGCAGACUGGAGGUAUGCAGGGGAGAACGGAAUUCCUGGUGUAGCGGUGAAAUGCGCAGAUAUUAGGAGGAACACCGGUGGCGAAGGCGGUUCUCUGGGCAUGUCCUGACGCUGAGGAGCGAAAGUGUGGGGAGCGAACAGG